GAUGAAGAACGUAGCGAAAUGCGAUACGUAAUGUGAAUUGCAGAAUUCAGUGAAUCAUCGAGUCUUUGAACGCACAUUGCGCCCCCUGGUAUUCCGGGGUGCAUGCCUGUCCGAGCGUCAUUGCUGCCCUCAAGCACGGCUUGUGUGUUGGGCCUCCGUCCUCCUCCCGGGGGACGGGCCCGAAAGGCAGCGGCGGCACCGCGUCCGGUCCUCGAGCGUAUGGGGCUUCGUCACCCGCUCUUGUAGGCCCGGCCGGCGCUUGCCGACACAUCAAUCUUUUUUCCAGGUUGACCUCGGAUCAGGUAGGGAUACCCGCUGAACUUAAGCAUAUCAAUAAGCGGAGGA
rnacentral:misc_RNA from 1 species